rnacentral:rRNA from 1 species
GAUGAACGCUAGCUACAGGCUUAACACAUGCAAGUCGAGGGGAAACGAUAGAGAAAGCUUGCUUUUUCUAGGCGUCGACCGGCGCACGGGUGAGUAGCGCGUAUCCAACCUGCCCACCACUUGGGGAUAACCUUGCGAAAGUAAGACUAAUACCCAAUGACGUCCAUAGAAGACAUCUGAAAUGGAUUAAAGAUUUAUCGGUGAUGGAUGGGGAUGCGUCUGAUUAGCUUGUUGGCGGGGUAACGGCCCACCAAGGCGACGAUCAGUAGGGGUUCUGAGAGGAAGGGCGCCCACAUUGGAACUGAGACACGGUCCAAACUCCUACGGGAGGCAGCAGUGAGGAAUAUUGGUCAAUGGGCGAGAGCCUGAACCAGCCAAGUAGCGUGCAGGAUGACGGCCCUAUGGGUUGUAAACUGCUUUUAUAAGGGAAUAAAGUGAGUCUCGUGAGACUUUUUGCAUGUACCUUAUGAAUAAGGACCGGCUAAUUCCGUGCCAGCCGCCGCAGUAA